rnacentral:rRNA from 1 species
UACGAAGGUGGCAAGCGUUGUUCGGAAUCACUGGGCAUAAAGCGCGUGUAGGCGGCUGGGUAAGUCGGGUGUGAAAUCCCUCAGCUCAACUGAGGAACUGCGCCCGAAACUACCUUGCUUGAGGUCUGGAGGGGAGAGUGGAAUUCCCGGUGGAGCGGUGAAAUGCGUAGAUAUCGGGAGGAACGCCGGUGGCGAAAGCGACUCUCGUGGACAGAUCCUGACGCUGAGACGCGAAAGCUAGGGGAGCAAACGGG